GUCUAUGGCCAUGCCACCCUGAACAUGUCUGAUCUCGGAAGCUAAGCAGGGUUAGGCCUAGUUAGUACUUGGAUGGGAGACCACCUAGGAAGACCAGGUGCUUAUAGGCA
rnacentral:rRNA from 1 species